rnacentral:rRNA from 1 species
GUGGAUUAUAUACCCGGGUAGUCCACGCCCUAAACGAUGUCAACUAGUUGUCGGGUCUUAAUUGACUUGGUAACGCAGCUAACGCGUGAAGUUGACCGCCUGGGGAGUACGGUCGCAAGAUUAAAACUCAAAGGAAUUGACGGGGACCCGCACAAGCGGUGGAUGAUGUGGAUUAAUUCGAUGCAACGCGAAAAACCUUACCUACCCUUGACAUGGCAGGAAUCCCGGAGAGAUUCGGGAGUGCUCGAAAGAGAACCUGCACACAGGUGCUGCACGGCCGUCGCCAGCU